rnacentral:rRNA from 1 species
CAGGGAUUGCCCUAGUAACGGCGAGUGAAGCGGCAACAGCUCAAAUUUUAAAUCUGGCUCCCUCGGGGUCCGAGUUGUAAUUUGCAGAGGGUGCUUUGGCGUCGGUAGCGGUCUAAGUUCCUUGGAACAGGACAUCACAGAGGGUGAGAAUCCCGUACGUGGUCGCUAACCUUCGCCGUGUAAAGCCCCUUCGACGAGUCGAGUUGUUUGGGAAUGCAGCUCUAAAUGGGAGGUAAAUUUCUUCUAAAGCUAAAUACCGGCCAGAGACCGAUAGCGCACAAGUAGAGUGAUCGAAAGAUGAAAAGCACUUUGGAAAGAGAGUCAAAUAGCACGUGAAAUUGUUGAAAGGGAAGCGCUUGCAGUCAGACUUGCCCGUAGUUGCUCACCUAGGCUUUUGCCUGGGGCACUCUUCUGCGGGCAGGCCAGCAUCAGUUUGGGCGGCCGGACAAAGACCUCUGUCAUGUAUCUUCCUUCGGGAUGACCUUAUAGGGGAGGUGUAAUGCGGCCAGCCCGGACUGAGGUCCGCGCUUUUGCUAGGAUGCUGGCGUAAUGGCUGUAAGCGGCCCGUCUUGAAACACGGACCAAGGAGUCUAACAUCUAUGCGAGUGUUUGGGUGUCAAGCCCGGGCGCGCAAUGAAAGUGAACGGAGGUGGGAACCUUUGGGUGCACCAUCGACCGAUCCUGAUGUCUUCGGAUGGAUUUGAGUAAGAGCAUAGCUGUUGGGACCCGAAAGAUGGUGAACUAUGCUUGAAUAGGGUGAAGCCAGAGGAAACUCUGGUGGAGGCUCGCAGCGGUUCUGACGUGCAAAUCGAUCGUCAAAUUUGGGCAUAGGGGCG